AGAGUUUGAUCAUGGCUCAGAGUGAACGCUGGCGGCAGGCCUAACACAUGCAAGUCGAACGGCAGCACAGCAGUAGCAAUACUGUGGGUGGCGAGUGGCGGACGGGUGAGGAAUACAUCGGAAUCUACCUUGUCGUGGGGGAUAACGUAGGGAAACUUACGCUAAUACCGCAUACGACCUACGGGUGAAAGCGGAGGACCGCAAGGCUUCGCGCGAUUGGAUGAGCCGAUGUCCGAUUAGCUAGUUGGCGGGGUAAGAGCCCACCAAGGCGACGAUCGGUAGCUGGUCUGAGAGGAUGAUCAGCCACACUGGAACUGAGACACGGUCCAGACUCCUACGGGAGGCAGCAGUGGGGAAUAUUGGACAAUGGGCGCAAGCCUGAUCCAGCCAUGCCGCGUGUGUGAAGAAGGCCUUCGGGUUGUAAAGCACUUUUGUUGGGGAAGAAAAGGCAUCGGUUAAUACCCGGUGUUUCUGACGGUACCCAAAGAAUAAGCACCGGCUAACUUCGUGCCAGCAGCCGCGGUAAUACGAAGGGUGCAAGCGUUACUCGGAAUUACUGGGCGUAAAGCGUGCGUAGGUGGUGAGUUAAGUCUGUCGUGAAAGCCCCGGGCUCAACCUGGGAAUGGCGAUGGAUACUGGCUCGCUAGAGUGCGGUAGAGGAGAGUGGAAUUCCCGGUGUAGCAGUGAAAUGCGUAGAGAUCGGGAGGAACAUCAGUUGCGAAGGCGGCUCUCUGGACCAGCACUGACACUGAGGCACGAAAGCGUGGGGAGCAAACAGGAUUAGAUACCCUAGUAGUCC
rnacentral:rRNA from 1 species